UACGGAGGGUGCAAGCGUUAUCCGGAUUCACUGGGUUUAAAGGGUGCGUAGGUGGGUUGGUAAGUCAGUGGUGAAAUCUCCAGGCUUAACUUGGAAACUGCCAUUGAUACUAUCAAUCUUGAAUACCGUGGAGGUCAGCGGAAUAUGUCAUGUAGCGGUGAAAUGCUUAGAUAUGACAUAGAACACCAAUUGCGAAGGCAGCUGGCUACACGAAUAUUGACACUGAUACACGAAAGCGUGGGGAUCAAACAGG
rnacentral:rRNA from 1 species